rnacentral:rRNA from 1 species
CUCUGUUUCUAUAUGUAACUUCUGAGUAAAACCAUAAAUAAAUCAAAACUUUCAACAACGGAUCUCUUGGUUCUGGAAUCGAUGAAGAACGCACCAAAAUGCGAUAAGUAAUGUGAAUUGCAGAAUUCAGUGAAUCAUCGAAUCUUUGAACGCACAUUGGGCCCGCCAGUAUUCUGGCGGGCAUGCCUGUUCGAGCGUCAUUUCAACCCUCAAGCACAGCUUGGUGUUGGGACUCGCGUUAAUUCGCGUUCCCCAAAUUGAUUGGCGGUCACGUCGAGCUUCCAUAGCGUAGUAGUAAAACCCUCGUUACUGGUAAUCGUCGCGGCCACGCCGUUAAACCCCAACUUCUGAAUGUUGACCUCGGAUCAGGUAGGAAUACCCGCUGAACUUAA